rnacentral:rRNA from 1 species
UACGAAGGGGGCUAGCGUUGCUCGGAAUUACUGGGCGUAAAGCGCACGUAGGCGGCUCUUUAAGUCGGGGGUGAAAUCCUGGAGCUCAACUCCAGAACUGCCUUCGAUACUGGAGAGCUCGAGUCCGGGAGAGGUGAGUGGAACUGCGAGUGUAGAGGUGAAAUUCGUAGAUAUUCGGAAGAACACCAGUGGCGAAGGCGACUUACUGGACACAUAUUGACGCUGAGGUGCGAAAGCGUGGGGAGCAAACAGG